ensembl:lncRNA novel transcript
UGAGUAACUUGGCUCCGGGGGCUCCGCUCGCCUGCCCCCACGCCGCCCGCCACCCAGGACCGCGCCGCCGGCCUCUGCCGCGAACAAACCCUUCUGACGGCCCUCGCUGUGCAGGCCAGGAUGCCUCUCCCCCAUCCGCCCCCGCUGCGGAAAGUUAAGUUUGAAGAGGGGGGAAGAGGGGAACAUGGACAUGAAGAGGAGGAUCCACCUGGAGCUGAGGAACUGGACCCCGUCAGCUGUUCGAGAACUUGUCUUGGACAAUUGCAAAUCAAAUGAUGGAAAAAUUGAGGGCUUAACAGCUGAAUUUGUGAACUUAGAGUUCCUUAGUUUAAUAAAUGUAGGCUUGAUCUCAGUUUCAAAUCUUCCCAAGCUGCCUAAAUUGAAAAAGCUUGAACUCAGUGAAAAUAGAAUCUUUGGAGGUCUGGACAUGUUAGCUGAAAAGCUUCCAAAUCUCACACGUCUAAACUUAAGUGGAAAUAAACUGAAAGAUAUCAGCACCUUGGAACCUUUGAAAAAGUUAGAAUGUCUGAAAAGCCUGGACCUCUUUAACUGUGAGGUUACUAACAUGAAUGACUACUGAGAGUGUCUUCAAGCUCCUGCCCCAGCUUACCUACAUGGAUGGCUAUGACCAAGAGGACCAGGAGGAACCUGACUCAGAUGCUGAGGUGGAUGGUGUGGAUGAAGAGUAGGAGGGCGAAGAAGAAGACGAAGAAGACGAGGAGGAUGAAGAUGGUGAAGAAGAGGAGUUUGAUGAAGAAGAUGAAAAUGUAGAAGGAGAUGACGAAGAUGAAGUCAGUGAGGAGGAAGAAGAAUUUGGACUUGAAGAAGAUGAAGAUGAGGAUGAGGAUGAAGGAGGAGGAAGAAGGCAGGAAAGGUAAAAAGAGGAAGAGAGAAACGGAUGAUGAAGGAGAAGAUGAUUAAGACCCCAGAUGACCUGCAGAAACAGAACUGUUUAGUAUCGGUUGGACUGCUCAUGGAUUUGGUAGCUGUUAAAAAAAAAAAAAAAAAGGUAGCUGAUACAAACCCCAGGACACCCACCCACCCAAAGAGCCAAAGAAUAGUUCCUGUGACAUUCCGUCUUCCUCCAUGUAGUCCCUCUUGGUAAUCUACCAAUCUACCAUCGAGCUUAGGGACUUCACCCCAACAAAAUUGUAAGUGUUGUUAGGUUUUUGUGUGAGACUCUUGCUGUAGCGUAGAUAGCUGUGAUUGGUGAGUCAACCAUCUGUGGCUACCAGUUACACUGGGACUGUAACAGCAUUUUUACUUUCUGUACAACAAAAAUCUUUGUAAAUAAAAU